AAAGGAUUAGAUACCCCUGUAGUCCUGGCCGUAAACGAUGAACACUAGGUGUCGGGGAAAUCGACCCCUCGGUGUCGUAGCCAACGCGUUAAGUGUUCCGCCUUGGGGAGUACGCACGCAAGUGUGAAACUCAAAGGAAUUGACGGGGGCCCGCACAAGCGGUGGAGUAUGUGGUUUAAUUCAAUGCAACGCGAAGAACCUUACCAGGGUUUGACAUCCUGCGAAUCUCUUGGAAACAGGAGAGUGCCUUCGGGAACGCAGUGACAGGUGGUGCAUGGCUGUCGUCAGCUCGUGUCGUGAGAUGUUGGGUUAAGUCCCGCAACGAGCGCAACCCACGUCUUUAGUUGCCAGCAUUCAGUUGGGCACUCUAGAGAGACUGCCGGUGAUAAACCGGAGGAAGGUGUGGAUGACGUCAAGUCAUCAUGCCGCCUUACAUCCUGGGCUACACACGUACUACAAUGCUACGGACAAAGGGCUGCAAGUUCGCGAGGACAAGCAAAUCCCAUAAACCGUGGCUCAGUUCAGAUCGUAGAGAGAUGCAACUCGCCUACGUGAAGGCGGAAUCGCUAGUAAUCGCAGGUCAGCAUACUGCGGUGAAUACGUUCCCGGGCCUU
rnacentral:rRNA from 1 species